rnacentral:rRNA from 1 species
AUUGAACGCUGGCGGCAGGCCUAACACAUGCAAGUCGAGCGAGCGGCGGACGGGUGAGUAAUGCCUGGGAAUUGCCCAGUCGAGAGGGAUACCAGUUGGAAACGACUGCUAAUACCGCAUACGAUGGGAUUGCCCAGGGGGGAUUAGCUAUGUGGUGAGGUAAUGGCUCACCAAGGCGACGAGCCCUAGCUGGUCUGAGGGGAUGAUCAGCCACACUGGAACUGAGACACGGUCCAACAUCCUACGGGAGGCAGCAGUGGGGAAUAUUGCACAAUGGUGGAAACCCGGAGGCAGCCAUGCCGCGUGAGUGAAGAAGGCCUUCGGGUUGUAAAGCACUUUCAGCGAGGAGGCGUUACUCGCAGAAGAAGCACCGGCUAACUCCGUGCCAGCAGCCGCGGUAAUUC